rnacentral:rRNA from 1 species
GACGAACGCUGGCGGCGUGCUUAACACAUGCAAGUCGAACGGUGAAGCGCCUUCCUUUUUGGUGGGUGUGGAUGAGUGGCGAACGGGUGAGUAACACGUGAGUAACCUGCCCCCUUCUUCUGGAUAACCGCAUGAAAGUGUGGCUAAUACGGGAUAUUCUGGGUCUGUCGCAUGAUGGGUCUGGGAAAGAUAUUGUUUCGGUGGGGGAUGGGCUCGCGGCCUAUCAGCUUGUUGGUGGGGUGAUGGCCUACCAAGGCGGUGACGGGUAGCCGGCCUGAGAGGGUGGACGGUCACACUGGGACUGAGACACGACCCAGACUCCUACGGGAGGCAGCAGGGGGGAAUAUUGCACAAUGGGCGCAAGCCUGAUGCAGCGACGCCGCGUGAGGGAUGGAGGCCUUCGGGUUGUGAACCUCUUUCGCCAGUGAAGCAGGCCUGCCUCGUUUGUGGGUGGGUUGACGGUAGCUGGAUAAGAAGCGCCGGCUAACUACGUG